GGAUACGUGCUAUGCUGUCCAGAUUGC
rnacentral:sRNA from 1 species